GCAGUCGAGGGGCAUCGGGAGGGAAGCUUGCUUUCCUUGCCGGCGACCGGCGCACGGGUGAGUAACACGUAUGCAACCUGCCCUCUUCAGGGGGACAACCUUCCGAAAGGGAGGCUAAUCCCGCGUAUAUCGGUUUCGGGCAUCCGAGAUCGAGGAAAGAUUCAUCGGAAGAGGAUGGGCAUGCGGCGCAUUAGCUAGACGGCGGGGUAACGGCCCACCGUGGCGACGAUGCGUAGGGGUUCUGAGAGGAAGGUCCCCCACACUGGUACUGAGACACGGACCAGACUCAUACGGGAGGCAGCAGUGAGGAAUAUUGGUCAAUGGGAGAGAUCCUGAACCAGCCAAGCCGCGUGAGGGAAGACGGCCCUAUGGGUUGUAAACCUCUUUUGUCGGAGAACAAAACCCGGGACGAGUCCCGGACUGCGUGUAUCCGAAGAAAAAGCAUCGGCUAACUCCGUGCCAGCAGCCGCGGUAAUACGGAGGAUGCGAGCGUUAUCCGGAUUUAUUGGGUUUAAAGGGUGCGUAGGCGGUCCGUUAAGUCAGCGGUAAAAUUGCGGGGCUCAACCCCGUCGAGCCGUUGAAACUGGCAGACUUGAGUUGGCGAGAAGUACGCGGAAUGCGCGGUGUAGCGGUGAAAUGCAUAGAUAUCGCGCAGAACUCCGAUUGCGAAGGCAGCGUACCGGCGCCAGACUGACGCUGAGGCACGAAAGCGUGGGGAUCGAACAGGAUUAGAUACCCUGGUAGUCCACGCAGUAAACGAUGAAUGCUGGUUGUCCGGGUCGAAUGAGACCUGNGCGGCGAAGCGAAAGCGAUAAGCAUUCCACCUGGGGAGNACGCCGGCAACGGUGAAACUCAAAGGAAUUGACGGGGGCCCGCACAAGCGGA
rnacentral:rRNA from 1 species